CCUACGGGAGGCAGCAGUGGGGAAUAUUGGGCAAUGGAGGAAACUCUGACCCAGCGACGCCGCGUGCGGGAUGAAGGCCUUCGGGUUGUAAACCGCUUUCAGCAGGGAAGAAGCGAAAGUGACGGUACCUGCAGAAGAAGCACCGGCUAACUAUGUGCCAGCAGCCGCGGUAAUACAUAGGGUGCAAGCGUUGUCCGGAAUUAUUGGGCGUAAAGAGCUCGUAGGUGGUUCGUCACGUCGGAUGUGAAAAUCUGGGGCUUAACCCCAGACCUGCAUUCGAUACGGGCGAGCUUGAGUAUGGUAGGGGAGUCUGGAAUUCCUGGUGUAGCGGUGGAAUGCGCAGAUAUCAGGAGGAACACCAAUGGCGAAGGCAGGACUCUGGGCCAUUACUGACACUGAGGAGCGAAAGCGUGGGGAGCGAACAGGAUUAGAUACCCUGGUAGUCCACGCCGUAAACGGUGGGCACUAGUUGUGGGGACCUUCCACGGUCUCUGCGACGCAGCUAACGCAUUAAGUGCCCCGCCUGGGGAGUACGAUCGCAAGAUUAAAACUUAAAGAAGUAGUAGGACGUCGAGACGUAGCGACGACGACGACC
rnacentral:rRNA from 1 species